GACAGAGGGUGCAAACGUUGUUCGGAAUUACUGGGCGUAAAGCGCGUGUAGGCGGCUCGGAAAGUCGGGUGUGAAAGCCCUGGGCUCAACCCAGGAAGUGCAUUCGAAACUCCCGAGCUCGAGUCCUGGAGAGGAUGGUGGAAUUCUCGGUGUAGAGGUGAAAUUCGUAGAUAUCGAGAGGAACACCGGUGGCGAAGGCGACCAUCUGGACAGUGACUGACGCUGAGACGCGAAAGCGUGGGGAGCAAACAGG
rnacentral:rRNA from 1 species